UUACGAAGAACGCCGUGAUGCGGCAUGAU
rnacentral:sRNA from 1 species